CCUCGCUUCUGCUCUGACAGCCGGCGUGCGGAGGUCGGCCCGGGGCUCCCGCCUGCCCGGAGCCUGCCCAGGCCGCUGCGCGCUCUUCUGACCCCGAGUGUGCGUGUGCGGGCGCCGGCCCUCGAGUCCACUGGAGAACCCCACACGCUCACAUCCUCAGUUUUAAUGUUUUGGGGCACUGGGGAUUCCACGGGGGUCUUUCCACUGAGCUGCGCCCUAGCCCUUUCUUAUUUAGAGACAGCGUCUCCCUAAGUGGCUAAGUUGCCCAUGCCAGGCUCCACCUGCGGUCUUCCUGCCUCGGCCUCCCGGAGUGCGGGAUGACAGGCGUGUGCACCCCACCCGGCCUUCUCAUUUGCAUCAGGUCCUUGCUAGGUGGCAGGAGGCCUACUGCGUGCGAUGCUGUGUGACUCACUGCCUACCUCAGGAGGUGAGAAGGGGCCUGCACGCAUUCAGCGUAGACCGGAGUUUUUCUCUUACUUUCCACAGGGUGGGUGCGAUCGGAGGGUGCAGAGCCGCGCUGACACGCUCGUGUGUGCGCGUGCUGUGCAUCCAUGCACACGCAGCAGAGAUCACCUCGGACGUCGAGGUCAGCUGGAUACCACGGACACAGGCAGGGGAGAGCUGAGCAAGCUGAAAGGUUGGGGGCAGGCGACCCAGCGUCCACGAGGCCAACGCAGAAGAGCCCAGCAGCGGGACCUGGGACAGGACCCGAGGUUCAGGGCUCUUUGGCCAGCCCGACUCGGCCUCCUGUCAGGAGGGUGUGGAGAGAGCUAUGCCCCAGGUUAGGUGCAGGUCAGGCCCGCGUCAUGACAGGGACAGCGAGGGCAGGUGCGGGGGGACUGGAGGGAUAGAGCGGGACAUUUCACGGGCAGCGCUGCUCCUCCUGCCCCUCUGCCCCUGACGACUCGGACCCGGCCCGGGCUUGGCCAGCCCUGCAGGGCCCCGAUGCGCUCCCCGCCCCGCCAUCCUGCUGGGUGUCUGGGAGCUGAGGACCCCGGCAGUCACAGCGCCCCCCGUUGGCUGUGAACACAGCAGUCUUCGUCAGGAAUCCCCCUCCGCCUGUGGUCUCAGCCUUCUCAGUUCACGCCCAGCCUGGGCGACCCAGGGACUUAGUGAGACUCUGACUCAAAAAAUAAAAAGGGCUGGGGUGGGAGCUCAGUGCAAAGGCCCUGGGUUCUCCCGCAGCAGCGCGCGUGCGCACACACACUCACUGCCAUUUCCCUCCCCUCCCAUCUGGGCGGCUGUGACUCGAUUGCCCACUUUAGACGCUGGAGAGGGGACACUGCAGGGCUCCCUGGGAGGAGAACAGCGAGGCGACAGGGAGGACCUGCAGGUCUGGCCUUGGACACAGGAGAGGCCGGGCCACCCUGCCGAGCCCUCCCUGAGCUCCUGAUCUCUGUGCUGCUUCCUGCCCUGCACCCUGUCUCGGCAGGCCAUUUCUGAGGGGGAUCGGGGCUGAGGCAGGACGAUCUCUUCAGACCAGCAUAUUGGACACACCCAAAACCGACGUUGGUAAAACCUUAUGUGUACCAUAAGGAGCUUGAAUAACAGUUCAAUUCCAGCAGUUUGGCCAGGGCAAUUGCUACCUUUUUUGUUUAUUUAUUGAGGUUUAACUUACAGAAGGUGAAAUGCUCAGACUUUUUUAGGUACUAGAGAUUGAAUCCAGGGCCUUUGUGCUGAGCUACAUCCCCGCCCUUUUUUACUUUUUAUUUUGUCCCACAGGGUGCAGGACAGAUCGAAGGAGAGCCUGCCACGGUCCUCAGGUCACAGUGCACCCCCACUUGAACAGUGCGGCCCUGCUGUAGCUCUCCCUGUCCCCUGUCUCCAGUCCUCCUGAGCUGCGCGGGGCAUCAAGCGUCCUUCUUCCUUCCCGGACUCUUCCCCUCCCUGGGCAGAGGGCUUGGUGGAGGAGCAUUUGUCUAGUGCAUGUGAGGCCUGUGUUUGACCUCCAGCACUGCGUGAACCCUGGGUUCUAACUGUCGCUUCCUGCCCCAGGGCCCUUGCACAAACGUCCCCUCUUCUGAGGACCCGCCCCUUCCUGGAGCUCCACCUCAGAUGUGAGCACCGGUCCGGAUGGCAUCGAGGGCUUUCCUGAAGCUUGGCUGAGGCCUUUGAGACUGCAGAUGCCGCCGUGAAUGCCUGUGAGCAGAUAUUUGUGUGCCGCUGUCUCCGGCCCCGUGGGGCAUGGGUGGCUCACCCGGCUCUGAGGAAUCACCAGACUCUUUCCAGCAGUGGCUGCGCCUCCAUGGUCUCCACGGGCAGUGCGUGUGGCGCCGAUUUCUCCACAUCUCCAUUUACUUUUUAAAGUUCCCGGCGGCACGGCACCUCGUGGUCAGGAGAGGGGCUGAGGCCCACGGAGAGAAACUCAAGGGCGCAAGUGCACAGCCUGCGGCCAGCAGGGGGCGGGGCCCGCAGCUGGCCCUGCCCUGGGGACCGGUGGGGGUUGCUGUUCUCCGACAGAGCCAAGGCCGUGGUCAGCUCUGGAGAGCGCCAUUAUCCUGGACGUGGGGGACCGGGGUGUGACAGCGAGACAGGACUGGGGCCAGGAGAGGGGGAGCUUAGGCCUGGAUCCGAAGCCGCAGGCAGGAGAGGGCCCUGCGGGGAGGGAGAAGAGGCAGGGUUAGCCCUUCCAACCAGGCAAAGCCGGAAGAGGCCUUCAGGGUGCUUGAGUGUGAGUUAAGUACAGUGUCACUGUCCAGGGGGGUGGGAAAAGUUCCACGAUCAAACAGUUGUGGGAACGCUCUAUAUCAGUGGUGGCAAACCUUUCAUUUCUCCUUUUUAAAUUUUCUGGUUUUCUGAGGCAGGGUCUCUCUAUGCAGUUCAGGUUGGUCUUGAACUCACUAGGUAGCUCAGGCUGGCCUAAACGUGGGGAUCCUCCUGCCUCAGCCUCCCGAGGGCUGGAAUUGCAGGCAUGUGCUACCUUUCAGAGCUUUCAGUGAUAACAAACAGCUGGCUGCAGUAGGUAGGUUUGCCACCCUCCGCCCAGUGCACCUUUCCUCUUGGAGAUCUGCAGUACCCUUUACUCCCCGAGGGCUCUUGGGUGGUGAGCUUUCUUGAACGGGGCGUUUCUCGAAACCAUGUGACCCCGUGUUUUCUUCUCUGCUGUGCCCUCUCUACGCCUGUUAAGUAUAACAGAAUCGACAUCUAGAGCCAGGCGUGGGGGCGCACGCCUGGGAUCCCAGCGCUCAGGAGGCCGAGGCAGGAGGAUGGCUGUUUGAGGCCAGCCUGGGCUACGAGUGAGACCCUGUCUCAAAAACAACAAAACAAAAACCUCCGGUCUGCUUUCCCGGAAGCCCACGGCUAGGGUGACCAGCUGAGGGCAGGGAGGGCGGAAGAGCCGGGAGGAGCGAGUUCAGGCCUUGCCUCGGCAAAGCCCGCCCACCACCGUCUUCCUGCCAUCACACCCGUGUCCCGGGGGCGCCAAGAGUCAAGGCCGGCCCCCACCUGCAAAAGCGAUUGGCUGAGGGAGGGCCACGUGACCAGAGCCGGCCAAUCCCAGUGAAGUUCAGGCCUGUAUAGGGCUGCUGCGGGUGUCAGGAAGCCCUGAGUCUCACAGAAUGUGGAUGUGGAGAGGAAACUGAGCUGAAACAGGGGCUGGCUGAGAAAAAAUUCACAAAGUUAUGAUCACAGAACUGUGAUCAAUGAAUAUUUGAACCCCUGGAGAAAUGUUCAGUGUACACUGUGCUCAGCUAUGUAUUCCAGGCUGGCUGUAAACUUGCAGCAAUCCUCCUGCCUCAGCCUCCUGGAUGCUGAGAUUACAGGUGUGCACUACCACGCCUGGCUAUUGUGCAUGAAUUCACCAGUGGAUUAAAUGCUUCAUGAGAUGAUCUCAAUCUAAGAUAUGCAUGCGUUCAUGAGAUAUCAGUAUACAUGGAGAGCAUGUGUGGACACAGCACCUACGCCCAAGUUGCACUUUUACUAUCAUGAAGAGAAAGAGCCUAUGUGCAUUGUUCAGGGUGCUUUCCCACAGCCCCGAGGCUGGAAACCUUGUCGUUCCCAUCUGACUGAGGAGGGUGAGGCAGGGCAGUGGCUCCUUGUGGCUGUCUUCGGUAGGGAGCCCUGCAGACGUGAGAAGGGUGACUUUUCCCCGGCCUCAAUAGGACGGGUGUUCUGCACUUGCUUGGUUGUUUUUCUGCAAUUUAUGGUUGUUUGGGACAGGGGAGCUCAGCUUUCUGCAAGGCGCCAAGGGUGAAUGUUUCAGCUCCGAGUGCCCGGCGGCCCUGCCACACGAGCCCACUACCCCCGGCGGCAGCAGGCAGCUCUCCAGGCCGUGCUCCAGUGACACUUUGUUCGUGGGCCCAGGCAACUUUCACGUGGCAGCAGGAGUCUUCUUUCGUCCUUCCCGGCAACCAGGUCGAGCGCACAGCCCACCCUGCCCUCGGGUCCUAGCCUGGCAGGUGCCUCAGGCAUGGACAGUGCGCAGCGUCUGUCUCAGCAUGUCUCUGCUCAGAGUCUGGAGAUGCCCCCCAGGAAGGAGCUGUCCCUGGUCAUGGCUGGCGUUGUGGCCCAGGCCUGGCCUCUCCCAGGCCCCCAGUGGGCAGGCGCAGGUGGCCAGUUUUGCUGCAGAGCCGGGCAACACCGGCUGCCCAAAGUCCUGAGGGUCCCGGCGGGAGCACAGCCAUGUUGGGCCUGGAGCGGCUCGUGAAGUUGUCGCUGGUGACCCUGGUCCUCCUGGGAUGGGCGGGCGCCUGUGUCCCCCCGAGAAGGGCACCGUGGAGUUAGGGCAUCCACAGCUCUGGGCCGGGCACUGACGGUUAUCCUGCUGUCUCCUCUUUUCCACGUGCACUCCGGCUGGCGGCUGCUCCUCAGUGAGACGUGAGCUCCUCCUGCUGCUGUGGGGAGCUGGGUGUUCGGGGCCUGGGGAGAAGGUGGAACAGGAGGAGUCAGACUGCUGGGAGAGGACUUGGCGGCCCCCGCCAGGGAGGCUGGGCAGGUCAGGGCAAGGCCUGGGUGUGUGAGCCCAGUGUCCAGGAAAGAACCGGAUGCGCUUCCGGGAGGGCUGGGCCCUGGGGGAGCCUGCACGGGGCAGACAGUCCUGCCUGGGAGAGAACCCAGGUGACCAAGGGGUGCUCUUAUUUAUUUAGGGUUCUUUUGUUUUUGUUUUUUGAGGCAGGGCCUCCCUUUGUAGUUCAGACUGUCCCUGAACUCACUAUGUAGCCCAGGCUGGCCUUGAACUCUUGGCAGUCUUCCUGCCUCAGCCUCCAGAGUGCUGGGAUCACAGGUGUGUGCCGCCACGCCUGGUUUCGGCAUGCUCUGUAGGACUUUCCUAACCUCUGGAGCACCCUGCAGGGAAACGGGGCCUGGGGGUUCCAUGUCUAGGGUUGAGGCUCGGUGGCUGUGUGGUGAGCGCCGGCCUAGCAUUCUGGAGGCCAUAUGUUCUAGAACUGGAAAAAAUAACGGGAAUGAUGGUGUCCAUGGGUGGGGGACCCUGUGGUGGGGUGCGGGCAGCACCCCCACCCUGCCCCCUCUCCUCCAUGCUCCCCAGUGCCCACACUGCUGCCCUGGUCUGCUCCCCGCUCCGCUGCAGUCCUGAAACGUGGGUCCACCCUGCGUCCCGCUUCUUGCCUGGCCCAGGGGCUCCGCAGCAUCCGCUGCUUCACAACUUCCCCUGCUGGGCGUGGUGGCGUGGUGCAAGCCUGUAAUCCCAGCUCUCGGGAGGCUGAGGCAGGAGGAUCCCUUUGGGGGGACAAAAGUGCUCCGACGUUGACUAGUGCUGGCUGCACACUGGAAAUGCACCAGCAACACUGCCUUCUACCCUGGCAGCGGGGAGCCGUGAGGCGUGAGAAUUACAUGUAAAUCCAUGGUGAUGGGAGCAGCCGGGAAACCUGGGCAGGUGGAAUGCGUCAGCCUGAGGAGCUCCUCUGAGGCUCUAGGUGGCAGGGAGCAGGGAGAGGCUUUCCUCCUGCCAGCGCUGGUCUCCCAGGACUCCGCUGCCUCCUUCCUCCUGCUGACCUGAGACUUUGUCCCUCUGCUGGCCUUGGCUCCGCCGCCCCUGGACGCACACACUGCCCUCUGCCUCACCCGGACGCCGCCCUCCGAUGGACUGACCGACGGCAGAGAUCCUGGGUUUGCUGAGCCUUCAGGUGCUGAACGGUGUUGGGGGUUGAACAGGGAAGAAAACAGACAAAAUCUGUGUCCAGAUGAACUACCAUUCCAGUGAGGAGAAAGGAAAGAAACAAAGAAAUAGCUUGCACUCGGAGUGGUGGUGCACAGCUGUGAUCCCACCGUUUUGGAAGGCUGAGGCAGGAGAAUGAUGAAACGAGUGACUGCAAGGAAGGUGAGUGGAGAUGCCGCGCCCUCUCCCAUCUGGGCUGUCUGAGGGCCUGGGAGAGGGGCUCUUCCUGCACUGGGGGGCAGGUGCCCCUGAAAACUGCACAGUGUUUUCAUGUACCCUGCUACCCGUGAGCCCUCCUCUCCCCGGAAGUGACCGGGUAAGUCCCGAGUAACAGGGUUAUGGAGACCAGGCAGGAAGGGCCCAGCGCCUGUCUGUGGCCGGGUCCGCAGUGGGGCUGCCUGCGAGGGCUGAGGACUCCGCUCCUCCUGAGAACCCAGGGCCCGAUGAUCUGACGGAGGCGGCGACGGGGCGACGGGGCAUGGGCGCCCCUGCAGGUACAGAGGAGCAGAGGCCCAGAGUUCUGACUGCGGAGACCGGAACAAACCAACUGCUCCCGGACCUGAGCCUCUACCCGGGGUUCAGAGCGGGGUGAGCCCGAGCUCCUCAGCUGCGGGCUGCGUCUGGUGGUGACGCUCGUUUUAGUCCCUGUGCCGCCGCCUACGGCUUUUUACCUCUCCCGUCGGCGCCUCUGCCCGCACCGAGCACUCAUCUCAGUCAGUUUGGGAAACCCACAGCUAACUUCAGCCCAAACGAGCCCCAAACCAGCGUCACUGCAGAGCUGCAUGGAAAGGGGGAGGGACCCGGUGCCGAGACCGAAGACCCUGAGAGGCAGCAGGAAGAAGGCGGCGUUAAAGGACAUCGGGGGUCACUCGUGCUCUGCAAGCCUGCCCUGUGCACUGCGUGGUGACAGAGCUGCUUUGCCACGUGGAGACCAAGCACCCGUGUUGAAACACAGGCUUUCUUUUCAGAAGAAAAACGAACCGCGAACACAAGGAACAGAAGCAGUUCCUGGAGGCGACCCCGUCCUCAAACGCGCCGGCUCCGGGAGCGCCCUGCUCGGUGGCCACCGCGCUGCGAAGCUGAGGAGCCUGGGGUCGGGGAGUCGGUCCUGCCUGCCGAGGACGCGCCCCACGCACCCUCAGGACAGGAGGGAAACGCUGGCUAGCCGAAAAUUCUCCUAGACGUAACCGUAACCGUUCGCCAGGUGUGACAGCCUUAUCAUCUCGUUAAAGCCCGCGCCCUGACCGACGGGGCACGCACAGCUCCGGAGGUGGCCGGACAGCGCGUGCGCUUGCUCUUGUACUCGAAGGCAGAUGGCGUCGGCGGCUUCCUGGCCGGAGUUUCUGAGUCACAAGAGCUGCUCCAGAUAUUUAUUAGAAAAACAGUUGUGGGGCUGCAUAACUCUGUAAUCAUAAAACUCCCCUAGCCCCAACUGUGAAUGUGAGUAAAUAGAUAAAGAUGCUUGUUAGUUCCGGGACACUAGAUAAGAUCUGUAUCAGCCAUAAGGUCCCAAAGUAAAUUACUCAACUCUUUGUUCGAAACUGAUGUUCGGGACACCGCUAUCUAUAGAACAAUCUACAAACAUCUGCUGACCAUCAGUACGUGUCAGCUGACCACUAACCUUUGUUCCUCUUCUGUAAAUUUCGCCUGUUAACUUCCCCUGCAUCCCCCUAUAAAAAGAGCCUCGGACUCUGGGCUAGUAGGCUCUCUAAGCUACUUUGCUUUGGGAGUGCCGUCUGGCCAGACUAAGGUCUGUUUUACCUUCCAACUUGUCCGGUGUGUUCCUUCCCGGG
ensembl:lncRNA